ACUUUGCAAUGUGCGAAAGCACGACAAGGUUAAUCCGAGUGAUUCCUGCUAAAGGAAUCUUUUGUUAGUUGUAACACCACUGAUGAAUAAGGGGUGGGCAAGUUCUGGUGUCAGCCGCCGCGGUAAAACCAGCACCUCAAGUGGUCAGGAGGAUUAUUGGGCCUAAAGCAUCCGUAGCCUGCUUUGUAAGUUUUCGGUUAAAUCCAUAUGCUCAACAUAUGGGCUGCCGGGAAUACUGCAUAGCUAGGGAGUGGGAGAGGUAGACGGUACUCCGUAGGAAGGGGUAAAAUCCUUUGAUCUAUGGAAGACCACCUGUGGCGAAGGCGGUCUACCAGAACACGUUCGACGGUGAGGGAUGAAAGCUGGGGGAGCAAACCGGG
rnacentral:rRNA from 1 species